rnacentral:rRNA from 1 species
AUUGAACGCUGGCGGCAGGCCUAACACAUGCAAGUCGAGCGGAUGAAGGGAGCUUGCUCCUGGAUUCAGCGGCGGACGGGUGAGUAAUGCCUAGGAAUCUGCCUUGUAGUGGGGGAUAACGUCCGGAAACGGGCGCUAAUACCGCAUACGUCCUGAUGGAGAAAGUGGGGGAUCUUCGGACCUCACGCUAUCAGAUGAGCCUAGGUCGGAUUAGCUAGUUGGUGGGGUAAAGGCCUACCAAGGCGACGAUCCGUAACUGGUCUGAGAGGAUGAUCAGUCACACUGGAAGUGAGACACGGUACAGACUCCUACGGGAGGCAGCAGUGGGGAAUAUUGGACAAUGGGCGAAAGCCUGAUCCAGCCAUGCCGCGUGUGUGAAGAAGGUCUUCGGAUUGUAAAGCACUUUAAGUUGGGAGGAAGGGCAGUAAGUUAAUACCUUGCUGUUUUGACGUUACCAACAGAAUAAGCACCGGCUAACUUCGUG